ACCCUCUGCUCUACUCUAACCUUGAUCAUAUUAAUCACUUAUAUAAGUGUCACAUGCAUGCACACACACGCACGCACACACACACACACACAUCAUGAAACCCCAGGUUUCCCCUGGGAUAACAGGCUUUCCAAGAAAAACCUCCGGAUCGGGCAGUGACCAGGUGCUAGUCACCCAAACUGCAAGGUGACCAUCGUGAUGUGCAAGAGCAGGUCAAACAACGAUGAAACCAGGAGGUGGUGGCCCACUGGAAAGCAGAGUGUGGCCUGGCCAUAGACUAGACUCUCCUGCUGACCCUGCAUUCUGCUCACACCCUGGAUACGCUGGGCAGCAGGACCGCCAGGAAACAGCUAACACACACCUAAUUAGCAGAACAAACCAUGUAAUUGUCUCCCAAAUUGUCUCCCAAACUGUUAUGUGACAGUUUUAAAUAUACUGGUAUAUAUAAACUGGUGCCCCGUGUAUAUAGACAAGACUCAUUAUGUAUUAUUACUUUUAUUAUUACAUUUUGUACUUUUCUAUUAUUUCUCUAUUAUCUUUCUCUCUGUAUUGUUGGGAAGGUCCCGUAACUAAGUAUUUCACUGUUAGUUCACACCUGUUGUUUAUGAAGCAUGUGACGAAUCAAUUUGUUAUUUCAUUGAUUUGAUACUAAAUGUAAUAUUGCCUGUUUGAAACAGACCCCCUCGGUAUGUAAAUGUGUGUCUGAAACCGUCAGAAGAUGUCAAUGAAUUGUGAAUAUGAAUUACAGCCUUCUGCUUCCUGCUUGGAAAGGUCAGUCUGACAUGGCUCCCUCGUGUCACUUGUUUAGUUGGCACCGGCAUAAACAGAUGCUUUCAUAUCUGUCACACACACACGCAGGCACGUACCAACGCAUGCACUCUCAUACACACACACACUAGGUUGUAUUCCCAGCUAGCCAAUCCCUAUCUGAACUCGAAACCAAACCACAGAGCAAGUCAAAGGAGUCAUCCACAGUAUCUUUAUAAUGGGACUCUAUAAUGUGAUUGACAUGUUAUCAGCCUCUGAUGGCAUGAGAGCUGCACUGAGGUACCCUGACAGGAAAGGUGAUGAUAAGGUGAAUGGAGGAUAGAGGAGAUGGAUGGAUGAUGGACCCGAGGGUAGAUGAGUACAUGGUUGCAUCCCAAAAUGGCACCCUAUUCCGUACAUGGUGUACUACUUUUGACCAGAGCCCUAUGGGUCCAGAUCAAAAGU